UACGUAUGGAGCAAGCGUUAUCCGGAUUUACUGGGUGUAAAGGGAGCGUAGGCGGUGCUAUAAGUCUGAUGUGAAAGCCCGGGGCUCAACCGCGGGACUGCAUUGGAAACUGUAGGAGUGGAGUGUCGGAGGGGUAAGUGGAAUUCCUAGUGUAGCGGUGAAAUGCGUAGAUAUUAGGAGGAACACCGGUGGCGAAGGCGGCUUACUGGACGACAACUGACGCUGAGGCUCGAAAGCGUGGGGAGCAAACAGG
rnacentral:rRNA from 1 species